rnacentral:rRNA from 1 species
GUCUACGGCCAUACCACCCCGAACACACCCAAUCUCGUCUGAUCUUGGAAGCUAAGCAGGGUUGGGCCUGGUUAGUACUUGGAAGGGAGAAUGGCUAAAUUUUUUUUCAAAGACU